rnacentral:rRNA from 1 species
AACGAACGCUGGCGGCAUGCCUAACACAUGCAAGUCGAACGAAGGCUUCGGCCUUAGUGGCGCACGGGUGCGUAACGCGUGGGAAUCUGCCCUUUGGUUCGGAAUAACAGCUGGAAACGGCUGCUAAUACCGGAUGAUGACGAAAGUCCAAAGAUUUAUCGCCAGAGGAUGAGCCCGCAUUGGAUUAGGUAGUUGGUGGGGUAAAGGCCUACCAAGCCGACGAUCCAUAGCUGGUCUGAGAGGAUGAUCAGCCACACUGGGACUGAGACACGGCCCAGACUCCUACGGGAGGCAGCAGUGGGGAAUAUUGGACAAUGGGCGCAAGCCUGAUCCAGCAAUGCCGCGUGAGUGAUGAAGGCCCUAGGGUUGUAAAGCUCUUUUACCCGGGAAGAUAAUGACUGUACCGGGAGAAUAAGCCCCGGCUAACUCCGUG